UCUCCAGCGGGCGGGGCGGGGCCGCCACGGGCCGCCCGCGAGUGGCGCCGGGAGGCGGUCGCCCUACGCCGCCCGGUAGGCCAACGGGCUCCCGGCCCACAGGCGGAAUCCGCCCGGGGAUGUCGCGGCGUGGGGGAGGGCCGAGAAUUCCCGAGGAAAGACAAGUAGCCCGGGUCGAGUCUCAGAAAAUGCGAGGCUCCUCAUCAGGUCAAGCUCAAGGAGGCCUCCAAGGGACCGGGGGAGGCCAGGAAGACUACACCAUAGAUGCUCAGUAUUGAAAAGCGAUGACAGGAGGAGUUCCGUCGUGGCUCAGUGGUUAACAUAUCCGACGAGGAACCAUGAGGUUGCGAGUUCGAUCUCUGGCCUCACUCAGUGGGUUAAGGAUCCGGCGUGGCCGUGAGCUGUGGUGUAGGCUGGUGGCUACAGCUCCGAUUCGACCCCUAACCUGGGACCCUCCAUAUGUCACAGGAGCAACCCUGGUCAUGCAGAACCCGGAGUCCCACAAGGCAGGGAGAGCACGGCACGAGUAUGUGUGGACAAUGGAAAGGUGUGACAACGCACUGUGGAGGGGGGAAUAGUGUUAACCUUGGGAUUCACUCUCAGAGUUUGGAAUAGAGAAAAUACUCUCGCCACCCAAUUCUGCAGCACCACAUCUUCCUUCUGUGGACAAAGAAAUGUUUCUCUCGGCCUUUGCCGAGAGAGCUGCACGUUCACGCCUUCUCUCAUGUUUCCUGUCUCUGCCUUCCACACUUGGGUGUGCCAUUCUUAUCCUCCCAAGGGAUCCCUUAACACAAAACACACUUGCUUUGCAAUCAAAGUGUACUUUAUUCAAGUUGCUUUUACAGUUUUAUCUGUGUCCCAUUCGGUGUCACGCUACAUGGUUUAAAAAUACCAACACCAGGCACGGGAUGUAAAGAAACAUGGUAGAGACACGAGGAGAGAAAGGCUGAGUUAGGGAUGUUCCAGCAGCCAGGGUCUGGGCAUGCAAGGCCCGGCCAUCCACGUCAUCCUGAAAGAGGGAGCGUGACAGAGGUCCCACGGUCAAAGGUACACACCAACGUGAGGCCACAGAAUCCUUGGAAGGAAACUGGCAUGAGGGCAGAUGGCGGUCAGGACUAAAUCCACAGUCCCCUUCUUCAGUCAGGACUGAUGUAGGUGACAGGCCAGGGGGUGAUCCUGGUGGUGGACACCAGGGUGACUGCCUGACGCCAGUGCAUUAAGUUCUACCUCUGCUUAAAGGGGCUUUCCUGUACAUGUGUUUAUUUUAUCGAAAACUAGUUUAAAAGCAAAUAGAUAGAUAACGAUUAUUUAACACACACAUCUUACAUUCUACCAAAAUCUUACAUACCAAGUAGUAAACAUGUAUCAGAACUGAAUACUAAAUCUAGACAAUAAAGAACUAAGCUUAUA
rnacentral:lncRNA from 1 species